CUAGCUAGCACAGAACUAUGCGCAUGCAUAUUAUACUUAUGUACGCCAGGCGUAUCACGCGCACUCUGAUCUGAGGAGAGCAAGAGGGAUAGAUCGUGUCAGGGUCAUGGAGUCCGCCGGCGCCGGCGGCCAGCAUAAGCCAGUGCAGGAGCACUGAGCAGUUCAACGUGUCUUGGUGCUUGGCCGCCUUCGAUCGAGGUGGAGUUUGUCCAGCCACCGGCGACGAUGUCUUGGCGCGCAGGCACCAUCUGUUUUUCUUGGCAUCGGAGUUGGUAUAUCCUUCAUAUUCCCUCCGACAUAGUUUAGAAGGCAUGAUUGAAAAAUCUCUGGGAUCAAGAUAGCCACGAUUGGUUGUGAGAUGUAGCAGGUGUAGAUGCUAAUGCGUCUAAUCAACUGAGAAAAUAAGCGGUUGAUGUUUCCACAGCCGAGUUAAUAACCAUCGCAUGCAUGUAUGCAUCAACUUCACCCGACGUGAACAACAAAUUAGAAGGACACAUGCAUGAGUAAUACUAGUACUAACUAGUCGACCCAUGCAUUCGCACGGCCGCAUAUAAAUUAUGAAAAUUAUGAACAUGAACCGCAC
rnacentral:lncRNA from 1 species